GCAGAAACCGACAUCGCCAGGCCAUCUUUUGUGGCAUUAAUUAAGCGAUGUUUAUUCCCUUUUUUUAAACGAUUUACACCUACCUCCUCAUAUAGACAUUAGUUAGCUUUGUAAGUCGGGGUAAGAAACCCCACUGGAUCUGACUAGUAAGACUGAGGCGGUGUCGGUAUAUAUAAAUAUUUAAAUAACAUAUACGGCGAUUCUGCCGUAAUAUUAUACGCGCGCGGAAAAUUUGAAAUUAUAAUAGAGACGACGACGUCCGUAGAACGAAGUUAGAAGAAGCUGUUGCGUAAUCGCGUUGAUCAUCCGCACCGUAUUGCGAAAGAAUAUCGCAAAAAGGCAACAAUUGCUACAAUGAACCGAAGAUCGGUCCUCUAUCCCUCCUGCACUCCGAUGAUGCAGCAUCCAGACUCCGAAUGCGCGAUGAACGUGAAUUAUUCCCAAGGGGUUCGACACUGCGGUCUGAAGACGACUCUCGACGUCGAGGACUUGGGACGUUAUUUCGAAGGGGACUACAAUAGAAACAACGACAGGACCAGGUACACCUGCGGCAGAGAGAAGAGGGUCGCUAAUACGAGGGGUAAUUCCGGGCAGGCGAGGAUCGCAACUCCGUCGGAAUUACAGAUGUGGGAUGAUAUGAGGAAUGGUUUAGGGGCUUCCUUCGAAAACGACGGCUUCUUAUCGCCGAGCGAGCCCAAAAUGGCGGCGGCCAGCCUCGAGCCACGAGGAGAAAACGAGGACUUCCCUCGCGGCUCAAUGAAAUGGAACCGCCCGCCGUCUCGGACCUGCUUCGAUCAGCCCGUCUCGUGGUUCGAGCUGCAGGCGAGCCUCAAUCCUGAGAUAAAUACACCCUUUCUCGAGCCCGACGCGAGAAGGGCCAACUUCUGCACGGAGUAUCAGUGGCUCCGGUGCCCGGCUACCCAGUGUCCGAUGAUACUCCCCGACGGGUACGAGGGCUUCCGACCUUCCGACGAGCCGCUGUCGUACCCCUGCCUCCGGGAACCCUUCAACGAAUCGGGAUUUUAUUACGGGGAAAAUACCGCCCACCUCACCCUGGCUGAUUGCGAAUACAACGAAAGAUACGAUGAAGAUUCACUAAGCAAUGAAAAACGGAAGGAGAAAUCUCGAGACGCCGCACGGUGUCGGCGAAGCAAAGAAACAAACAUAUUUACCGCAUUGGCGAACGCGCUUCCGGUACCGAUUGAGCAGGCUGCCCACCUUGACAAAGCAAGCGUAAUGCGGCUCGCCAUCGCCUACCUCAAAGUUCGAACGGUCGUCGACGCGAUUCCGGAAACGUCUGCAAAGUCGGAAAUAUCCGCCGAGAUGGACGGGGCUUUCCUGAAAGCACUCGAUGGCUUUAUGCUCGUCCUAUCCAGCGACGGCGACAUGAUCUACCUGUCCGAAAACGUCAGCGAUUACCUCGGAGUUUCACAGAUGGAUAUGAUGGGUCAGAACGUCUACGACUACAGCCAUCCGUGCGAUCACGACGAGCUUCGCGAAUGCCUGUCGAUGAAGCCCUCCGGGGCUAACGACCCGAAGCAGAUGUGCAAUUUGUUCCUCAGACUGAAGUGCACCCUGACCACCAAAGGGAGGAAAGUCAACCUGAAGAGCGCCUCGUACAAGGUGAUACACUGCACGGGUCACGUCGUGGCGACGCCUCGGGACCUUUCGACGCCCCAGAAUCAGCUCGAUGAGAAUGGCGAUAGCCUCGAUUCCUUCGAAGGGACUCACGUGAAGAUCGAGAAGCCGGAGAAGGAGAGCAGCUCCGGCUGCCUCGUCGUAGUCGGCUGCCCGAUUCCCCAUCCGAGCAACAUCGAGGUGCCCCUUGGCCGGCACACCUUCCUAUCGAAACACAGUCUGAACAUGAAGUUCACCUACGCCGACGAGAAAUUGGCCGAGUAUCUCGGCUGGGAUAUCAGCGAGCUCGUUGGCCAGUCGGUUUUCGAGUUUCAUCACGCCCUCGACAAUCCUCUACUCGACAAAUCGUUCAAGUCGCUGUUCAGCAAAGGGCAGUGCGAAACCGCGGCCUAUCGUUUCCUGGGUAAAAAGGGAGGCUACGCCUGGGUCGUGACGCAGGCAACCCUGAUCCACUGCGCCAAACAGCACAAGCCGCUCUCCGUAGUCUGCGUGAAUUACAUCCUAAGUGAAAUCGAGUGCGAAAAUGAAGUAUACAGCGCCCGUCAGCUGGAGGCUCGCUCCGUAGAUGCGGCAGCCUCCUCGAAUUGCAAGCAACCUCUGUCGCCGGUUGCUCUCGCUGGAUGCCCAGCAGCGAUAGCCACACCGACAACCAACAACAACAACAACAACAACAACAACAACGUUGAAAAGCUAGACGCCGGUUGUACCGGCGAACUGAUCACCGGGAAUUCACCGAUCGAACCCCCGACACCCUUCUCCGUCACCGCGUCCCUGUUCCGACAGCAGGAGAAACCGCUCGAAGAAACCUCCCAGACGUCCAAGAACAAGCCAUUUGAUACCGAGAAGGACUUAUUCUCGAAGCCCGCGUCGGCCACGGACCAAAUAUUUGGUGUUGCUAAUAAGAUACCCGAGUCGCAAACCGAUAAUCUGCAGUUGCCUCCGCUCCGCCAGCAGAAGAACCGAAACGUUUCUCUGCUCCCGAGACCGUCGGAGAAUUUGUUCCAGGGAAAACCCAUACUGCAGUACUCGGCAAUCAAACAGCAACAGCAGCAGCAGCAGCAGCAGGAGCCGCUACGUGACAAACCGCAGGCAGUGACGAGGGGCCUCAUCGUACCGAUUCCUCAAAUUCAGGAGCCGCCCAGCAGGGUUCCACCUCAGACAGCGACCGCGAGCAUAUUCGCACCUCGUACGAAGGACAUGAACAAGGGCUUCCUAACCUUCAGCGAAGACCAACCUGGCCUUACGAGUGAAUAUAAUAUAUUUGCAUGUGCGGAUAUGUCGUUGGAUGUAUACAAUAAACGAGAAAACGAUACAGCGGAUCGUUGCUGGGUGUUGAAGGAUGAGCCGGAGGACCUUACCCAUCUCGCACCGACGCCGGGCGACGUGUGCGUGCCCCUCGAGGACAACACACCCUUCUUCCCCGACAUGCUCGUCGAUCAGUUUAUACUCGAGGACAACUACUGCCCCCUCCUCAGCCCUGGACUCCCGAACGAGCUUGGUGAAUCCCUAUGCAAGGAUUCCGACCUCGAGGAUCCGCUCAGGAGCACCGAACUGGGUGAAUCGCUCGCCGACAGCGAUCCCUUCAUGUACAGGGAGACGCCGCUCAGUCCCGGCAGCGGCAGCCCCCAUCUUCUAUCACCGGCUUUGAGCAAGAGCCCGGGCAGCAUAGACUCACUUUGCAGCCCAAGCGGCAGCGGAGGCGGACUUUCCGAGGACGAGAUGCUGAUGCUAAGCAUCAGCGACGUCCUCGUUGACGAGGAUCUCGCCCUCAGGGCCCCCUAUAUUCCAAUGUCCGACCAGGACGAGGCCCUUCAGCUUUUCAUCAGCGACGACAUGGUCAUGUGGGGUCCGUCGCAACCGCCCGACAAAAAGUCCAAGUGGUCGAACGCAGAGUGCGCAGAGACGAACGUCAGCUCGAGUCUGGAACAGCUGCUUAGAACGAAUUCGUCCAACGUCAGAAAGUCCAACGACCACGGGGGUGGAUUGGUGGAUCCAAUCGAAGCCUUUGGUAACGUUUACAAAAAAAGUAUAAAAGAAGAGAGCAACGGCUUGACGGCGUCCAGGUCCGACCGUAAUUCCCACAAGCGCGUCCACUGCGGCGCAACCUCGACGUCCGACUUGUUCGACAACAACGAUAACUACAAGAGGAUCAAGUGCGAGGAGAGAAUGUCGAGCUGCGCGAACGCAUCUUCAGGGUUUGUUGGGGGCCGCGAUGCCGGAAAUGGACUGACGAUUCGGCAGGGAAGCCAGCUGCUUCACCAGCUUAUGACUCAGCAGUCUGUCGUUGGCGGCAACGCAAUGAGCGAAUCCACGACUAACGGAGGCCGAGGAACUGAGGGUGGAGGUGGAGGAGGAGGAAGAGGCGGCGAGACCGAGGAUUCUUCUUUAUUGUCGACGACGACAGCGAGCACGACGAUCUUUCCCCCUCAGCUGCAUCAGCAGCAGUCCAACAGCGUGUUGAUGAACCUUUUAGUAUCGGGUUGCGACGUAAGGGCCGGUUAUAUUUGUUUAACUAAACAAAAACAGAAACAAAAACAUCAGCAAGCAACUUCCAAGAGCAUAACGACGACGCGAAGUCAGUGAUUCAGUUGAUCUCUCGUUCUUUCGUCAGCCCUGUUUCAGACGUACAAUAUUAAGGGUUGCGUGUACGCAUUUUUGUAUGUAGUGUAUACCGCGAGGCGCAGUCAUUCCAUGGGAAUAUUUGUUGUGUUGAUUUCUAAAUUAUCGUCCCUGUUUCAUGUCCGCCUUCGGUGCAUGUCCUAUAUACGUAGAGAAAGAGACGUGUGUGAAAUUUGAAGUGGAUAUUUAAUUGACAAUUACCGUCAUUUGUUAUAAGUAUCAUCCGACGAUCGUGGAGGACUUGCCACAAAAAAGAGCAGCGCGAGAUUCCACAGAAUGGCCCGGUACAACGACGCUUGGUGUAUCUUUUCUGUAGACUGUAUCUGAGAUACGUCUGACGGGUAGCAAAUGAAUUUUCAGAUAUAUGUCUAUAUGUGUCGCGAAAACGUUAGUUUAAAUUAAACUUAAUCCGGCCAAGAUAUAUUCUAAGAGAAACCCAGUUGUGAUACGACUGAAAAUUUAAAAGAAAGAAUUUAAAAAAAGUUAUAAAACCCUAUUAACAAUAAUUAUACGUAUUUGUGUAUAGUUAGCGUGCGCAACUGUGCAUUUAUAUUGAUGAUCUAUAUCGUUUUUAUUUCCAUUUUCGUUUCUUUUCUUUUCUUUUCUUUGUAGGUAUUAUUCGAGGAUACGAAAUAGAGAGUGAGAAAAAAAGUCACAAUCAACGAGGUCUAAGUUAAUGUUGCAGGUGUAUAGAUUAUAUGUGUAUAAAAAAGAUAACGACGGUGUUACAAAGAACUUUAUUCCACGAGGCCCAAUUGGUAUAUUAUGCAAUAUUGUAUAGUGACGUUUGACACGAUUUGUGUUAUGUAUAACUUACGUGGUACCGAUUUUAAUGUUUUCCAUCUACGGCCUCAGGUUUUUCAUAACUGAUCGUGGUUAUUACUGCGUUAGUGAAUGUAUGUAGUUUAUUGGACGUAUGUAUCUACAUCGUAGUACCAUAGAUUAUUUUCUGCAAUCGACAAAUUGUAUUUUUUCCGUUGUGCAACUACUUGUUCGUCACGUCUCACGAGAAUGAACGAAUGGAAAGUGAAAACAAACUAAGAAAAGGAAAGAAAAUUAAAAUAUCGACAAUUCAGUGAGCUGCAUUCGCUUGUAAAUAUCAUUUCGUAAUAUAGUGGACAUCGUUUUCCCCCCUCGUAAUGGUUAACUGAAUUUUAAGGCAGAACGGAAUUUAAAAGAACUAAAUUAACAAAAAAAGUAUGCAGUCAAGCUUCGAAUCAUUAAUAUGACGUAAAUAAAUGUUUAACGAAUUAAUUUAAUACAAAUCAAAGUCUGUAUGGUUAGUAAGCCUUCAUCGUAAAUACUAUUAGAUUAGGGAUAGGAGUAAAAUUGCAAAUAAAACACACACACAUUUAGGAAUACAAUAAGUAUAUUACUUUCACCGCUAUUGUUAUAAUUAUAUAUAAGAUACUAGUGAAGGGCCGGUAGUGAGGCAUAGGCCAGAAUGACUGCUAGUGUUUAGGACACGAUCUGAAUGUACAUACGCGAGUAAGAUGUCAGUUUUUUUUUUUUUUUUUUUUUCGAGGGGCGUGAGUCUCUCGGUUUUGGUCACUGUUCAUUAUUUAGGUGCAAGUUUUCGCGAGUCGAAAACUGGGAGAAUAAGCGAAAUAUACUCACAUCCGCAUAGAGACGCGACGCACCAUAACAUAUUCGUUUAUUCGUCCAUUAAUCUCGCUAGUGAAUUUUAUUCGUAUCGUUGUUGACGAGCACAAAGUAAUCAUAAUGUAUAUUUAUUUUUUUUCGUUUUUGUUCGUGACGGACGUUAGACGAUGAUGAAGAACAUAAUAAAAAUUAUGAUAAAUGUAUCGUAGAAGAGAGGGGCGUAUGCGUAAUGGUGGUAUGACGUACAAAAUUUUUUCUCAAAAGUAUCUUUGACGGAAGAAGAAGAAUGGUCUGAGAACCUUUGAAAGGGAAGUUUGUGGCGUUGAGCCGCGUCACAAAUAUGAGUGAACACACGAAAACGAAAAACGAAGGUGUAAGAAACUAGGCACGUUGUUAAAAUUCGUUGUUAUAUAGGUGUAUAUAUAAUAAAUAUGUUGUACAAAGCACAGACGCGCGCGCGUGCAGUACAUGUAAUGUAAUAGGUGCGUCAAUUUAUAGAAAAUGAAUAAUACGUUAUUGUUACAUGGGUGAUAUCAAAAAAGGUGAUGUAGACCUACCAGGAUUGUGAAUUUAUUUUCGGAAAAUCAUUUAUCAUGAACCUUGAGAGGGAAAAGAAUGCAAGGGGAAAAGAGAGAGGACGAGUCGAAAAAACAUAGGAAUAGUAAAGUAUAAUAAACUAAUCGAAUAUGUACGUAUGUGUGUGUAUGAAUUUUAUUCGGCCACCAGAUCAACACACCAUUCGCUCUCUAACGUUAUAAGCUGUGUAAAUAUAUAUAAAAAAAAACGAGUAUAUUCAAAAUUGUUAAAUAUAUAAAUUUAAAGA